rnacentral:rRNA from 1 species
UACAGAGACUGCAAGCGUUAUUCGGAUUCACUGGGCGUAAAGGGUGCGCAGGCGGCCGUGUGUGUGAGGCGUGAAAGCCCGGGGCUUAACCCCGGAAUUGCACCUCAAACUACACGGCUAGAGCAUUGGAGAGGGUAGCAGAAUUCCAGGUGUAGCGGUGAAAUGCGUAGAGAUCUGGAGGAAUACCGGUGGCGAAGGCGGCCCCCUGGACAAAGACUGACGCUCAGGUGCGAAAGCGUGGGGAGCAAACAGG